AAAGAGGUCACGUGAGUCGUUUGAGGGCGUACAGGAAGUCUGUGGCACAGCACAGAAAUAGAAUCCAGACCUCUUGACUCCUAGACUUGUACUUCAACCACAACUCAUGCUUCUUCCCUUAAACAAUCAAGAAGUUGAAAGCCAAGCAGCAUCAAGUCAAACAUCUGAGCGAUGCUUGUCUUAGAUUUGUGAUGUAGCACAGACUGUGUUCCUUCAGGCUGGCUAGAAAUUGACACAGAAACAUCACUGCCUGAAGGGUCGUGAGAAAUGGAAGAAGACAGAGGGAAGAAGACUACUGAGACACUGAGACUUUCAAGCCCAUCUUCUCAGCCUUCUCCUUACCAUAAAAUGACAGCAGUAUUUUCUUCUUUUACCAUGGUGUUCUGCAAACGACUUCAGCUCACUAACUAGAAAUUAAAUGGGCAAACCUCUGAAAGCUUGGCAGUUUGAAUAAACAUCUGCAGGGAUCUGGCUGGACUUGGGGACAGGCUGUCCUCUGCAAAAGAAACCACAGAAAUUGCUCGAGACGCACCACUCUUCUAAGGGCUUGUGCUGAGUCUAAAGGAAAGAGUGUGAAGCAUGUAAUGUCUACACUCAGAAAAAAGAGAGGUGAGAGAGUGGCUGAAAGAAGUUUCUCAUGGGGAGAAUCUAUAUGGUGCAGAAAGCUAGAAGUGAUCAGAAAACAGGGAGCUGCAAUUUGAAAGUAGUAACAAUCUGCAGUCUAGGCAACAUCUAGGAGUUCAUUUAGAAGACCACUGGGGGCAGAAAGAAGCUGCACAAAUUCUGCUAGAAUAUUACAUCACAAAUAGCUGGAGUUAUCUGAUUUUCCCAAGGCUAUUCUUACCUGUUACUAAAGCUUCCUGAUGUGGGUUAUGUGAGAAUUUAAGGAAGCCUCUUGGGUUGGGAUGGGCAUUUUUUUUUUUUUCUUACUAAGCACUCCUACAAGAAGACAUAAAUUGCUCCACAGAAUGCCUCCCUAUCCAGGGAUAAGAGCUAUUUGGAAGGGACGCCUGGUGACCACAGUGGCCAUGGGGCCACCCGCCAGCCUGCUCUCCUGGGUGAUGCAGCUGACUGCAGCAGAACAACGUGAACGUGCUGUCAGAUGCCUUGCAUCUGUGUGCUCUCAUUCCUGCUCUAUUGUGCAACAAUUCCACUCCAGUCUCAGCUGAGGCUUCAAGUAGGAAUAGCCCAAAAUACCACAACAACAGCUGUUUUGUUGGAUUUUAUGGAGCUGAAACCCAGGAGUCCUGGAAAUCUUCAAAUAAAGCUUUUUCCGAUAAAAGAAACUUCCAGAUGCAUGAGCCUGAAUGUUUGUGAACAGCUCAUGUCUGUGUAGUAAGCUUGCAUUUUUUUAUGUCUUCCCCUUGUCAUUUCAUUUAUAAUAAAUGUGUAAUAACUUGUUAAA